UACGGGGGGGGGCAAGCGUUGUUCGGAAUUACUGGGCGUAAAGGGCUCGUAGGUGGCCAACUAAGUCAGACGUGAAAUCCCUCGGCUUAACCGGGGAACUGCGUCUGAUACUGGAUGGCUUGAGUUCGGGAGAGGGAUGCGGAAUUCCAGGUGUAGCGGUGAAAUGCGUAGAUAUCUGGAGGAACACCGGUGGCGAAGGCGGCAUCCUGGAC
rnacentral:rRNA from 1 species